rnacentral:rRNA from 1 species
GACAGAGGUGCCGAGCGUUAGGCGGAAUCACUGGGCUUAAAGCGUGUGUAGGCGGCGGCGUAAGUACCUUGUGAAAUCCCACGGCUCAACCGUGGAACUGCUCGGUAUACUGCGCCGCUUGAGCCAGCUAGGGGCGACCGGAACAAACGGUGGAGCGGUGAAAUGCGUAGAUAUCGUUUGGAACGCCGAUGGUGAAAACAGGUCGCUGGGGCUGUGCUGACGCUGAGACACGAAAGCCAGGGGAGCGAACGGG